rnacentral:rRNA from 1 species
AGCAGCCGCGGUAAUUCCAGCUCCAAUAGCGUAUAUUAAAGUUGUUGCAGUUAAAAAGCUCGUAGUUGAAUUUCGGGGUUCCACCGUUGGUCGGGCUAUUGUCUGUACUGGCGUGUAGAAUUUCUACCUUCUGGGGAACCAUCAUGUUAUUAAUUUAACGUGGUGGGAAACCAGGACCUUUACCUUGAAAAAAUUAGAGUGUUCAAAGCAGGCUUAUGUCUGAAUACAUUAGCAUGGAAUAAUAAAAUAGGACGGUGGUCCUGUUUUGUUGGUUUCUGAAUCACCGUAAUGAUUAAUAGGGAUAGUUGGGGGCAUUAGUAUUCAAUUGUCAGAGGUGAAAUUCUUGGAUUUAU